rnacentral:tRNA from 1 species
AGGAUAAUAGUUAUAAAUAACAUUUAAUUUGCAAUUAAAAAGUAUUGAUAUAUAUCAAUUUAUCUUA